CAUAUAACUAAGCGGUGGAAAAGAAAAUAACUAUGAUUUCCCCAGUAACGGCGAGUGAACGGGAAAAAGCUCAGCGCCAAAGUCGGUUCGCGACGUGGACACGACGAUGUGGCGUUUGAGACGAACGAUUGCGCGCGGCGUCUCACUGUCCGGGUCGUCUUGAUUGUGUCGGCCUACCCCGUAGAGGGUGAAAGGCCCAUCGUGACGGUUGACGACGGCGCGCUGCGUUCGUUUCGAGAGUCGGGUUGUCUGGAACGACAGCCUAAAGUCGGUGGUAUACUCCAUCGAAGGCUAAAUACUUGCGCGAGGCCGAUAGUCGACAAGUACCGUGAGGGAAAGUUGAAAAGCACUCUGAAGAGAGAGUCAAAAGCACGUGAAGCCGUUCAGAGGUAAACGGGCGGAACCCGAAAGUCCGGUGUGCGCAAUUCAGGCGGUGAAGUGGUCGCGCGCGCGUGGUGCGCUUUACGGUCGAGGCAUGCGUGCCAAGCGAUCAAAGCCUGCACUCGCGUUAGCGUGGUCACGUCGCUGUCUUACGUUGCGCCGCCGGUGCUUCGCGAAAUCGUUCGCGUUUUGAACAACUGGCGACGCGCGUCCGACAGGUGCGGUCUCUGUUGCGAGUCGAUUCGUCUUCUCGCUCAGAGCUCGUCUAUAGUCGGGCGAUCGCGCGGUGUUUUCGCCGGCGAACGAUAAGCCGAUACGCUGACGUCGGAGCGGCGACGAGGCGGUGUCACAGCCGUUCGUCGUGUUAAACGUUCAGUUACGAUUUCGAGACGCGUCCUUCGGGGCGUGUGCGUUUUCGGGCAAUCGACGAGUUAACCGCGUUUCGCGGUCGUCGGUGAAGCGUGCCGGAGAAAGACGCUUGUCGUCGUCACGGCCGCCACCCGUUAACGUUUGAGCGCGUUCACGCGCGUUCGCUCGGAAUUUGGUAACAUCGACGUCGUCUGAGUGUAGCGGUCGACGCGCGAAGAAAUGGCGGGCAAACCACCCGACCCGUCUUGAAACACGGACCGAGGAGUGCAAAGCGUGCGCGAGUCGGCCGGUGUCGUUCGAAACCGGUAGGCGUAAUGAAAGUAAAGGCGAUCGUUUACGAAUCGCCGUGGCGGGAUGCCGCGCGAGGCAAGAGCGUGGCCGCACCGCCGACCCGCGUCGAGAUUGUUCGCUGUUCACGGGGUGACUCGUGUCAGCGUCGUGCGACGCGGCGUUCGAGCGUACGCUUUGCGACCCGAAAGAUGGUGAACUAUGCGUGGCGAAGCUGAAGCCGGAGGAAACUCUGGUGGAGGGCUGUAGCGAUUCUGACGUGCAAAUCGAUCGUCGCAGCUGCGUAUAGGGGCGAAAGACUAAUCGAACCAUCUAGUAGCUGGUUCCCUCCGAAGUUUCCCUCAGGAUAGCUGGCACUCGUUCGACUAAACAGUUUUAUCCGGUAAAGCGAAUGAUUAGAGGCAUUGGGGACAACGCGACCUCAACCUAUUCUCAAACUUUCAAUGGGUAAGAAGCUCGAUUCCCUUGACUGGGAUCGGGCGCUCAAUGAUUCGAGGGCCAAGUGGGCCAUUUUUGGUAAGCAGAACUGGCGCUGUGGGAUGAACCAAACGCGCGGCUAAGGCGCCUAACGCCCAUGAGACGCUCAUGAGACCCCACGAAAAGGUGUUGGUUGAUAGAGACAGCAGGACGGUGGCCAUGGAAGUCGGAAUCCGCUAAGGAGUGUGUAACAACUCACCUGCCGAAUCAACCAGCCCUGAAAAUGGAUGGCGCUCAAGCGUCGGGCCUAUGCCGUGCCGUCGGCGCAAACGCCGUUCGUUUCGUGCGAGCGCGUUCGCGAUGCGCUGACGAGUAGGAGGGCCGCCGUGGUGGCUGCGAAGCUCUGGCCGUGAGGCCGAGUGAAGCCGCCUCGGGCGCAGAUCUUGGUGGUAGUAGCAAAUAUUCAAAUGAGAACUUUGAAGGCCGAAGUGGAAAACAAGGAUUCCAUGUGAACAGCACUUGAACAUGGGUUAGUCGGUCCUAAGCGAUAGGCUAACGCCGUCCACGACGGUUGUGUUGCGAUACGUGUGUCUNCUGCUCACGCGGGAGCGCGCUAUGCCCGACCGUCACGAUUUCGCGAAAGGGAAUCGGGUUAAUAUUCCCGAACCUGGUCGAGGAUAUUUCCGGGGCGAAUGUCGAGCCACGCGCUCGUCUCGUUCGCUUCGAUGCGGUAACGCUACCGACCUCGAGUACGCCGGCGGGAGCCCCGGGAAGAGUUCUCUCUUCUUCGUUAAGGUUCAUGUCCAUGGAAUCGGCUUGCCCGGAGAUAUGGACGUCGUUCACUGUAGAGCACCGCGGCUUUUGUGGUGUCCGGUGCGCGACCGUCGGCACGUAAAAACUCGAGCGAGACGGUACAAUUUUCUCGCCAGGCCGUACCCAUAUCCGCAGCAGGUCUCCAAGGUGCACAGCCUCUGGCCUUAGAUUGAUGUAGUCAAGGGAAGUCGGCAAAUUAGAUCCGUACCUUCGGAAGAAGGAUUGGCUCUAUGGGCUGGGCCGGUCGGGCAGAUAAUCCGAUGCGCCGUCGUUCUCGUGUGGGGCUGGCGUGAUCGGCGUUUGUCGCGCGUCGGCGCGCUGACAGCCGUGCGUUCGGCGAUCGUUUUGCGUCGUGAGCGUUUUCGUGCGUCGUUUCGGCGUAAGGAGGCGUUCGCGAUGCGCGGUCGUUGUUGCGCGCGGUUUCGUCGCGCGUUCGAACUGGCAAGCGUGAUCGCGUUGGACCGUACGCGGGACAUGGCGCGGGCGAUCUCUGCUAUGUCGCGCGCACGCUGACGGGUCGCUCCUCGUGAGUGGUUCGAAGGCGCGCGUGCGAUCUCGACCGGCGUUCGGCAG
rnacentral:rRNA from 1 species